UACGGGGGGAGCAAGCGUUGUUCGGAUUUACUGGGCGUAAAGGGCGCGUAGGCGGUCUACUAAGUUGGAUGUGAAAACUCUGGGCUUAACCCAGAGCCUGCAUUCAAAACUGAUAGGCUAGAGUUCUGGAGGGGAUAGCGGAAUUCCUGGUGUAGCGGUGAAAUGCGUAGAUAUCAGGAGGAACACCGGUGGCGAAGGCGGCUAUCUGGACAGAAACUGACGCUGAGGCGCGAAAGCUAGGGGAGCAAACAGG
rnacentral:rRNA from 1 species